rnacentral:rRNA from 1 species
CUUUAUUGGAGAGUUUGAUCCUGGCUCAGGACGAACGCUGGCGGCGUGCCUAAUACAUGCAAGUCGA